GAUGAACGCUGGCGGCGUGCUUAACACAUGCAAGUCGAACGGAAAGGCCCAAGCUUGCUUGGGUACUCGAGUGGCGAACGGGUGAGUAACACGUGGGUGAUCUGCCCUGCACUUCGGGAUAAGCCUGGGAAACUGGGUCUAAUACCGGAUAGGACGAUGGUUUGGAUGCCAUCGUGGAAAGUUUUUUCGGUGUGGGAUGAGCUCGCGGCCUAUCAGCUUGUUGGUGGGGUAAUGGCCUACCAAGGCGUCGACGGGUAGCCGGCCUGAGAGGGUGUACGGCCGCAUUGGGACUGGGAUACGGACCAGACUCCUACGGGGGGCAGCAGUGGGGAAUAUUGCACAAUGGGCGCAGGCCUGAUGCAGCGACGCCGCGUGGGGGAUGACGGCCUUCGGGUUGUAAACUCCUUUCGCUAGGGACGAAGCGUUUUUGUGACGGUACCUGGAGAAGAAGCACCGGCUAACUACGUG
rnacentral:rRNA from 1 species